rnacentral:rRNA from 1 species
GCAUAUCAAUAAGCGGAGGAAAAGAAAAUAACAAUGAUUCCCUUAGUAACGGCGAGUGAAGGGGGAUAAGCUCAAAUUUUAAAUCUGCUAGGUCUUACCUAUCAGAGUUGUAAUUUGAAGAAGCGUUUUCCGCGUCUCGGUUGACCCAAAUCCUUUGGGAUAUGGUAUCAUGGAGGGUGAGAAUCCCGUUCGGUUGACCUUGUGACGCUUUACGAUACGUUUUCUAAGAGUCGAGUUGUUUGGGAUUGCAGCUCAAAAUGGGAGGUAAAUUUCUCCUAAGGCUAAAUAUUGGCGAGAGACCGAUAGCGAACAAGUACCGUGAGGGAAAGAUGAAAAGAACUUUGAAAAGAGAGUAAAAUAGUACGUGAAAUUGUUGAAAGGGAAACGAUUGAAGUCAGUCGUACCGACGGAAAAUCAGCUCUUUAGUGCGGACUUGUGGGCUUACGUGAGUUUUAACACCUCGCUGUUUGCAACGUUCGUGUUUUUUGGGUGUACUUUUUCGUAUGGUAGGCCAAUGUCAGUUUCGAUCGCUAUAAAAUGACCGGCGGAAUGUAGCUUCGAUCUUGUAUUGAAGUGUUAUAGCCUCUGGUAGAUGUGGUGAUCGGGACUGAGGAUUGCAACGAAUACCUUUUGGGCUAUCCGUCUGAUCUCUGAAGGUUGCUUAGGUGCCGAAAGCGUGCUUACGGUUAUUUAAGUUGACAGUCAAAAGGUUAGAACGUGAUUAUAUUCGUUAAGGAUGUUGACGUA